CGGAAAGCCUGUAGAAUGGAAGGAGAAAUUAAAUAUCAGAGUUGGAAAGGACAGAAGCAGCCUGAACUCUCAUCCAUAUGAACUCUGUACAACCAUUGUGGAGGGCCAUUGGCAGUACACAGUCAAGUUGAAGGCUGCUUUCCGGGUACAACAGCAGAGUUGAGAGACUGCACAGAGAAUGGAUGACCUGUAAAGGCUGAAAUAUUUACAACCUGACUCUGCAGAAAACGCUUGAGACCCUUGAUCUAAAUACUCAUCAGGGAAUACAGAUGAUGCUACAAGCAAUGAAAAUAGUAAACCACAGCUACAUAUGUCGACAUGACUAAAUCUCAAAAAUAAAAUAUUUUCAAAAGCAAGUUACAAAAUGUUACAGUAUGAUGCUAUUUAUAUGAAGCCUGAAUACAUGCACAGAAUGGUAUGCAUGUUUAUGGACAUGUGUGUUUGUAGUAGGAGAAUUAAAAUACGUGGUUGGGCGCCGUAGCUCAUGCCUGUAAUCCUGGCAGUUUGGGAGGCCAAGGUGGGCAGAUCACCUGAGGUCGGGAGUUCAAAACCAGCUUGACCAACAUGGAGAAACCCCAUCUCUACUAAAAACACAAAAUCAGCCGGGCGUGGUGACGCAUGCCUAUAAUCCCAGCUACUCCAGAGACUGAGGCAGGAGAAUCGCUUGAACCUGGGAGGUGGAGGUUGCGGUGACCGAGAUUGCAUCAUUGCACUCCAGCCUGGGCAACAAAAAUGAAACUCCAUCUCAAAAAAAAAAUAAAAGAAUUAAAAUAUGCAUGGAAAUACCCGAAAAAGAGUUCCCACUGGGAAGAAAGAGACUAGGACCAGGGAUCAGGGAGGGGGUUACAUAUAAAACUUCGAUGGUGUCUUUAAUCUUGUUUUUUUUUUAAUGACAUAAUAUGCAAAUAUGGAAAAAUGAUUUCAGCCGGGUGGGGUGGCUCACGCCUGUAAUCCUAGCACUUUGGGAGGCUGAGGUGGGCAGGUCACCUGAGCUCAGGAGACCAGCCUGGCCAACAUAGUGAAACCCCAUCUCUACUAAAAAUACAAAAAAUUAGCUGAGCGUGGUGGAGCGUGCCUGUAGUCCCAGCUACUCGUGAAGCUGAAAUAGGAGAAUUGCUGAACCCAGGAGACGGAGGUUGCAGUGAGCCGAGAUUACACCACUGCACUCCAGCCUGGGCAACAGAGUGAGACGAAAGACUCUGUAUCAAAAAAAAAAAAAAAAAAACGGCCGGGCAUGGUGGCUCACGCCUGUAAUCACUUUGGGAGGCCAAGGUGGGCAGAUCACGAGGUCAGGAGUUCAAGACCAGUCUGGCCAACAUGGUGAAACGCUGCCUCUACUAAAACUACAAAAAAAUUAGCCAGGCGUGGAGGCACGUGCCUGCAGUCCCAGCUACUCAGGAGGCUGAGGAAGGAGAAUCGCUUGAACCCGGGAGGUGGAGGUUGCAGUGAGCCAAGAUCACACCACUAUACUCCAGCUUAGGCAACAGAGCGAGACUCUGCCUCAAAAAAAAAAAAAAAAAAAAAAGAACCUGAGGGUUACUUUAGGGGUCUCCCAUGUCCACUGCAGUUCUAGAAUUCAGUGGCCCAUCAUCAACUGAGUGGAUAAACAAAAUGUGGUCUGUCCACACAAGGGAAUAUUAUUUGGCCCUAAAAAGAAUAAAGUUCUGGCCAGGCACAGUGGCUCACACCUGUAAUCCCAGCACUUUGGGAGGCCGAGGUGAGUGGUUCACCUGAGGUCAGGAUUUCAAGACCAGCCUGGCCAACAUGGCGAAACCUCAUCUGUACUAAAAAUACAAAAAUUAGCCAGGUGUGGUGGCGGGCGCCUGUAAUCCCAGCUACACAGCAGGCUGAGGCAAGAGAAUUGCUUGAACCCAGGUAGCGGAGGCUGUAGUGAGCCGAGGUUGCACCACUGCCCUCCAGCCUGGGCGACAGAGCGAGACUCUGCCUCAAAAAAAAAAAAAAAAAAAAGAAUAAAGUUCUAACCCAUGCUGCCACAUGGAUGGAAUUGGAAGACGUUAUACUCAGUGAAAGAAGCCAGAUUCAGAGGACCACAUCUUGUAUGAUUCCAUUCCCGUGAAAUCUCCGGAACAGGCAAACCCACACAGAUGGAAAAUAGAUUCGUGGCUGCCAGGGGCUGGGGAGAAUGGGAGGGUCCCAGGGAUGAUGGCUAAGGGGUGAGGGCUUCUCUUUGAGAUGAUCAAAACGUUCUAAAAUUGAUUGUGGUGAUGGUUGCACAAUUAUGUGAAUAUACUAAAAAACCAUAGAACUGUACACCUUAAAUGGGUAAACUGUAUGGUAUGCGAAUUCUAUCUCAAUAAAGUUGCUAAAAAAUAAAAGUCUCCAUUUCUCCCCUUGCCCCGCCCCCCAAAAAACACUAAAAUUUUAAUGGUCCUAUAUUCAUUCUUUGAAUGUUCACUCCAUGAGCCAAUGUCCUAGCUAGAAUGAAUCUCCAAGCUGCUUAGAAGAGUUAGGGACAGACUGUCAGAAAACUGGGUGUGGGUAAUUAACUUCUGCUACACCCAAGACAAUCUUUUCUUUUUGCUUUCUUUUUUUUUUUUUUGAGACAGAGAGUCACUCUGUUGCCCAGGCUGGAGUACAGGGGCACCAUCUCUCGGCUCACAGCAACCUCCACCUCCUGGGUUCCAGC
rnacentral:lncRNA from 10 species